CUCUUUACUUAUGGUAGGCAUCAACGACCACUGUGACCCAUAGCAAAUACCUACUAGCAGUGAACCCACAUAUAAAUUUCCGGGAAAACCUGAAGCGAUAAUCACAUGACCACCAGUCAUUGCUGCUAGAGUAAAGACCAUGAAUAAUGGCCUUGGCCACCCACUCCUGAGCAGAAGGAUAUCUGAUACAUAUCCAGCUCCAAGACGG
rnacentral:misc_RNA from 1 species